AUGGAACCACGUCAGCUUGGGAUGGAGGAGUCCUACGCUGCCACCGCGGCCGAGGUGCUAAAGCCGGUGGAAACGCCGUCCAACGGUGAAGGAUGCCCUAUAUGCUUGGGUCAGGAGGAGGCCGCGGCGACCGCGUGGAAGGAGACAGCCUGCGGACACAGCUUCCAUGGACGGUGCGUGGAAAGGUGGCUCGAGACAAAGGGAACUUGCCCCAUGUGUCGGCGUCAGCUUCUAGUACCAUCCAUUGCGACACAAAGACAUAUUCGCCUUCCUAAUCCUAUGAUGACAAUGGCGAUUGAGAUAGUGAACAGGAAUCCGGAGAUAUACUCAUCACAAGCAUACGAGCUUUUAAGACGGUAUAUGUAG
rnacentral:rRNA from 1 species